AUCUGACCAUGUAGAAGAAAAAAAAACAUGUCGGCCCUCAUUGUAUGAGGAAUGAGUUAUAAAAAAUCAUCAUCCAACACUUUCUUUUUUAAUUAGCUUUUAAGUCUGUGUUUAGAGAAGUUAUUGCUGGUGUGUGAAUUGUGCUCUGAUAAUCUUUAUCUCAGGCCCACAGCUGUAGACUCUAAUGGCAGACACCAUGGACACCCUUGAAGGAAGGUGGACUGAUAGAGAACGUGUGUGGAAUGAAAUGCAAAAGGUGGGGAUGCUGGAGGAUCUGUUGUUCCAACUGGAGGAGACCUAUCUGAAGAACAAGGCUCAGAGGGCCAUUAGGAAGCAGAGGACUGGGGCACAGGAGGUGGUGGAAAAAUCCAGGGGAAGACCCAAAGCAGAGGCCAAAGGAAGGGCUACAGUGGUGACGGACAAGGCCAAGGGCUCUCUCACAGCAGUAGAACCAAUGACCUUACCACAUCCAGGAUCUGACGGCCAGGAUAGUGAAGACCCGCCCUCAUCCUCAAAAUGAAAGAACAUUUUCCCUCUCUCCCUCUCACAAAAGCCUCAUCUUCAGCCCGAGCAUCUUUCACACCAUUACUCUAGGCUGGCAGAAAUAAAUGGACUCUGCAGCCUUGCUUUCUCUCUGAUUUAGGGUCUCUUUUUUUAACACUCAUCCUUGUUUACUCGUUAAUAUACAGUGUCUCCAGGCCCACACUCUAGAUGAAAGACCUAGGUGAUUUAAACGUGUGGGAAUGUUCAAUUUGUGCAUAAGGAUAUGUUUUCAUGUUUGAACUUUAUCAUUUAUGCUUGUUCAUGCGAGUACUCAUGUAAAGCAGCUUAAGAUCUGGUUUGUAAACACACAAAAAAACAUAUGCCAUAGUAGCAUGAUUUUAAUGUGUGCAUGCCCAUUUUGGGAUUCACAGCAAAUCCGGCUUCAGAAACUGUGUCGAACAUUAAAAAAAACUACACUAAGUCAUGACAUUAUUUUCAUCAUCAUGUAUGGUUAGCUACCAAGGAAUACAAAACAUUUUUCCAUAGAUAACUCAUCCCUUUUGAGGAAAGGGAAACAAACAUACUUCUUCCUCAAGUAGCUACAGUAGCUUCACGUUGUGUACAGUAUGAUGACCAUGUUACUACAGUCUGGAGGUUUCCAGUCAUUUCAAUGCCAAAGGUGCAGUUUGGGGAUUGAUCAGGCAGGGCAAAACUUUGUGAGUAAGCACAAUCAGUGGGGCCCUCGUCAUUCAUGUGCCCACUGCUGGUCCAUCAACUGGCCGGUCAGCACCUGCUUCCUCUGGGACAGCCAAUCACAGGCGUUCAAUGCUAUCGACAGCUGCUCUCGCUCUCUUGUCUCUUUCCCUGUCUCUCUCACUCUCCCUUACUGCUGCUGAAUUAUCCACAUUUCCCUAUACCUGAGGAUUAGUUCAUGGGAUCGUACUCUACAGUACCUGAUUAUCAGUGUUUCUCUUUUUUUCCCUCUCCUUCUCACUCGCUCUCUCACUUUCUUUUCUCUCUCUCAUCCCACCCUCCAUCUGUCCCUCCCUUCUUCCCUUUCCCUUCAGAUAAGUGUGUAAUACCUUGGGGAUUCUGUUGACACCCGAGCCGGCAUGAGCAAUGUUGUGAUCAGCAAUAUGGUCAUGCAUUAAUUUAAUUCCUGAAUAAAUGAAUGGUAUUUAUUGAGUGGUCAGGGGAGAAAAUGUUGGCAUUGUACUUAUUGGCAUCUUUAAAAGAUUCAUUAUGCCAGAGGUAGUUUACAAUUGGUAAACAAUUAUUAUAAUCCAAGCCUACAUGUAUAAUUAAUUGAUGCAUUAAAAGCCAUCACCUUG
rnacentral:lncRNA from 13 species